GGAUUACUGAAUGCGAUACUGGCUGGGGUUUACCUCUCAAGAUAUGAAUGGACUGCCAAAAAUUGUGACAGAAGCAAGUGAGAAGUCAAGACAACCGUGUGGACCCCUUUGGUGGAACUGCGCCCCGCACAAGAAAAACCGAAAAGAAUCCACUUUAUAAAAAUGGGAAGGAACUGGUCCCGUUGUUAGAAACACACCGUCAUGCUCUGGGUGUGAAGUGUUGUCUACGUGGAUGAAAUUGAAGUAGCACCUUCCAUCCUACUUUUGGGCUAGCUUGUACCCCUGCCACUGCUCCAAAAUAGGAAACAGCAGGUCAAAGUGCAGUGUGUCGCAGAAGUGUUUCCAAGUGUGAAGAGGCGCUGAGCCCCUGGGACACCCACGUCUCUUCCUGUUUCCCUUUCACGUGAAGUAAGUUGACUAACUUUGUUUAUGUUUUCUGUAACGCUCUCUGGAAAAUUU
rnacentral:lncRNA from 1 species